AAAACCAUAUUCCAGUACAUGGCUGCCUGCCAGUAGCAUAUGCUUGUCUCAAAGAUUAAGCCAUGCAUGUCUAAGCACACACAGCCGGUACAGUGAAACUGUGAAUGGCUCAUUAACUCAGGUAUGGUUCCUUUGGUCGCUCCAACCCUUACUUGGAUAACUGUGGUAAUUCUAGAGUUAAUACAUGGCAAC